GGUGAGUAAUACGUGAGUAACCUGCCCUUGACUCUGGGAUAAGCCCGGGAAACUGGGUCUAAUACUGGAUGCUACAUGUCACCGCAUGGUGGUGUGUGGAAAGGGUUUACUGGUCUUGGAUGGGCUCACGGCCUAUCAGCUUGUUGGUGAGGUAAUGGCUCACCAAGGCGACGACGGGUAGCCGGCCUGAGAGGGUGACCGGCCACACUGGGACUGAGACACGGCCCAGACUCCUACGGGAGGCAGCAGUGGGGAAUAUUGCACAAUGGGCGAAAGCCUGAUGCAGCGACGCCGCGUGAGGGAUGACGGCCUUCGGGUUGUAAACCUCUUUCAGCAGGGAAGAAGCCACAAGUGACGGUACCUGCAGAAGAAGCGCCGGCUAACUACGUGCCAGCAGCCGCGGUAAUACGUAGGGCGCAAGCGUUGUCCGGAAUUAUUGGGCGUAAAGAGCUCGUAGGCGGUUUGUCGCGUCUGCUGUGAAAGCCCGGGGCUUAACCCCGGGUGUGCAGUGGGUACGGGCAGACUAGAGUGCAGUAGGGGAGACUGGAAUUCCUGGUGUAGCGGUGGAAUGCGCAGAUAUCAGGAGGAACACCGAUGGCGAAGGCAGGUCUCUGGGCUGUUACUGACGCUGAGGAGCGAAAGCAUGGGGAGCGAACAGGAUUAGAUACCCUGGUAGUCCAUGCCGUAAACGUUGGGCACU
rnacentral:rRNA from 2 species